rnacentral:rRNA from 1 species
GUGGGGAAUAUUGCACAAUGGGCGCAAGCCUGAUGCAGCAACGCCGCGUGAGGGACGACGGCCUUCGGGUUGUAAAGCUCUUUAGCCGAUGAUUAUAAUGACUGUAGUCGGAAAAUAAGCCCCGGCUAACUUCGUGCCAGCAGCCGCGGUAAUACGAAGGGGGCGAGCGUUAUUCGGAAUCACUGGGCGUAAAGCGUGCGUAGGCGGCUUUGCAAGUUGGGAGUGAAGGCCCAGGGCUCAACCCUGGAAUUGCUCUCAAAACUGCAAGGCUCGAAUUCGGGAGAGGAUAGCGGAAUUGUCAGUGUAGCAGUGAAAUGCGUAGAUAUUGACAGGAACACCAGUGGCGUAAGCGGCUAUCUGGACCGAUAUUGACGCUGAGGCACGAAAGCGUGGGGAUCAAACAGGAUUAGAAACCCGAGUAGUCC